rnacentral:tRNA from 1 species
GCUCACGUAGCUCAGCUGGUAGAGCAACGCCUUGGUAAGGCGUAGGUCACGGGUUCAAGUCCCGUCGUGAGCU